rnacentral:rRNA from 1 species
CAGUCGCCGCGGGAAUACGGAGGGUGCAAGCGUUAUCCGGAUUUAUUGGGUUUAAAGGGUCCGUAGGCGGACUUAUAAGUCAGUGGUGAAAGCCUGUCGCUUAACGAUAGAACUGCCAUUGAUACUGUAAGUCUUGAGUAUAUUUGAGGUAGCUGGAAUAAGUAGUGUAGCGGUGAAAUGCAUAGAUAUUACUUUGAACACCAAUUGCGAAGGCAGGUUACCAAGAUAUAACUGACGCUGAGGGACGAAAGCGUGGGUAGCGAACAGGAUUAGAUACCCCAGUAGUCCCUGUCUCUUAUAC